CAUUUUGUUUACAAAGGGAGAAAGGGCAGGGCUGUAGGUUUGAGAAGCCAGAGGUUUGCGCGGAGUUCCGUGUGCCCAUUCCCCGAGAGUGCCGCUCUUGGCUGUGGUUGUUUGUUCUACCUGAUUUUGCCUCUUGCCUUCAACUCCCCCAUAACCCCUCCCCAAAUGUCCAGAGGGCAAACAUAUGCGCAUACCUCCCUGAUCAAUCCAGCCAGACCAAAGGGCCUUCCCUGUCCUCCCCCUAAGAACUUAAUGGGAAGAGUGUACGGGGGACCUACUCUUGGGACAUCUGCAGGGCGGCUGUACCAGUCAUUUUACCUGACUUUAUUCUUACCGCAAAGAUUUCCGUCUCGGUACCUGGUGCCCCCUCAGAGUCCACUACACAAACGGGUAAAAUCCCGCCCGGCUAUUCAUUUCGCCAUUCGCGAGUAAGAGGGGGAAAAGGAGCCGCUUCUAGGAGAGCACUGAGGUAUCCUCGGUUCGGUUCCCGAGGAGGCCAGAAGCGGCCGCGGCGGCGCGGGCUGGAGCUCCCGCCUGCAGGGAGACACCGCGCUCUAGGGUGCGGGCUUCGCCGCCCACAUCCAGUGGUCGAACUGUUUUCACGCUAGACUAGAGGGCGGAAAAGUCUGCGCCCGCGGAGAAGCUAGAAUUCUGUAGAAUGUACACUGUGUAGAAAUCUUUUCACCCCACUCUUCAGAGUUGCAGAUUAUCUUUGAAAAACAACAGGCUCUGGCCCUGCCAGCCCUGGUAACUUCUACCCGCCUGAGUCACUCUGAAAAGUAAGCCCCUAGGCCAGUGAGAUGUCCCCACCUUUGGGAGGUGCCGCCUUUCCGGGAACAUUAAAAAAAAAAAACCCUAAAAAUAGAAGGAGGAAAAAUGAGCAAAGGCGGUGGGACGACUCACCGAAACACCGAGGUGCAAAUGUCCAUAGGAGAAACUGGCACUCGCAUGGCAGCCAGCUGGCUCACCCAACAGCUGGGUGGUAACCUUGUGAUCCCCAAACAUCCCCCAGGGCCAUGAAGGCAGUGCUGACUCCCACGAUUGCACCUCAGGCCCAGUGGAAUCCCGCUCCUCCUCCAUAGUGGUGCUAUGUAAUCAGUAGAAAAUCAGUAGAAAAGCUCCCAAAUGAAGCUGCUUCAGGUCAGGGGUUAGAAAUCUGCCUCAGACUUUUUGAACUCAAGGAAAUCGGGACACCUGUCCCCAGGGCUACCUGUGCCCCACCCCAGGAUCAUUCAUGACCGUAGCUACCGGGAGCCCCGCCCAGAUAAGUUUUUAAAAGAGAGAGAGAAAGAAAAAAGUCACAUGCAGGCAUGGCUAGGAACAGGUGUGUGCUGUGGGGACGGGCACUUGGCUCGCAACACACCACACAAAGUCACGAAGUCUGUGCCAGAAAGGAGUAGCCAAGCCACCGCCGGGAGGCAGCCGAGGUUGUGUUUAAGGUGGCGAUUGAGGGCAGUAGGGGACAACUCGACCCAAAGAAGGCCAAGUCUUGUCCUUAUCUGGGGUGGCCACUGAGGGAAGACUUAAGGGAAAGAAGGUGUCCUCAAAGCUACCAUUACAAGAUGAGGAGCUAGAGCGGGCUCAGGUCCCAGGCACCCAGGGCUUAAGCCUUGAUCUUGGAGAGGUUCUCGGAGGGAGGCUUGGGCCACCUGGAGGGACUGGGCACGCUGAGUAGUACCCUCUGGGAGGCUGUACCCCCUUUCAAAGUGUGAGGGCAUUUGCCCAAGGUGUAGGCUUUUAGGGAGCCCAGGGCUGGGCAGCACCAGGGGAGAGAGGCACCAGGUGGGUGCCCUCCUGCCUGCACUCACCUGGAAUGCUGGCAUAUGGGUUUUUCGCCUUCCUCACACCUCCCCACACCACACUCUGGGCUAGGCAGUGUCGAGGAGGUGCCUUGGGUUCAGGGAAGCUUGCCACCUGCACACCUCAACCAGGAAUUGGGCCCCAGAAUCUCAGCCCCUGCCCAAGCAGGAAGGAUAGGGACCCUGGCCCUCGCCAGGUGGUAAAUUGUUUGCUAAAAGUGCAUUUACACGGCGGCGAAGUUUGUUUCUCUUUUACCGGUAGCUUUGUUUUAACGAACCAGAUGUUUUGUCUGUAAAUUCUCCCAAGAACUUUUCCAGUUUUGACGUGAAAUAAACCUUCGAAAAUCGGAACAGUAUAUUAAUACCACUUCUGUGGGGCCUCAGGAGAGCUGAGUCAGGUGUGCCUGGAUGGGAGCUGGGGGUGGGAGUACAAUCUUUGGAGAGAAGUAGGGGGCUUCUCUUGGCCCAAGGUCAAGAAUUGGUUUGGGGGAGGUGAAGUGCCUCCCCGACUCCCAAAACAGGCGCACACACACGCACUGUCACACCGGAGUACGCACUCCCAGCCCUCCUCCAACCAGGCAUAGCUUGCUACUUCGUAAAUUUCUUGUGGCUUGGGGCACAGAGAUGUAGCUCAACUUUGCAGACUGUGUCCACUGCAUGCCGCUGCCGUUUUCCACGAGGACUGCCUGACAAAGGCAAAGGGGCCUUCGAUCUUCUUCCCGGGGCAGCUUUGAUGCCUGAGUGUGCGGGGCCGGGGCCGGGGCCGGGGCCGGGGCCAGGGCAGAGCAGGGUGGAAGCUGGUGCCCCUGUCUGGCCCACCUUAACUCCUGGGCACAACUAGAUUCGGGAGAACUUGGGGUGGAAGCCGACCUGGUCUAGGAAGCCACAGCCUGCAGGUCCCCCUCUCCAAUGCCUCAUUUUUUCCGAUUUAGGAUUUCCAGGCAGUUAUAAAACACCUUAAAAAAAAAAAGACCCACUUAACAAUACACCUAAAAGAGGGAGGGAAGGAAGGAAGGAGUACGGUUAUCACAGGCGUGUGGGGAGAGGGAAACCAGGUCUGCCUAGAAACCCACCUUCUGGUCCUGUGAGUCAUAGCGGCCACUUUCUCGGGUUUCCCAAGACAGGAGAUGGCGAUUUUCUACUCCCUCCCCUCUCCCCAAGCUUUCCAGUGCUCUGAGUCUCGCAUCUUCAGAUACCUCUUUCUUCCUUCAUUCUCUUUCGUUCAAUCAUCUACGGAACUUUCAAAAACUUUUUUUUUAGGAGAGCGAAGAUUAAAUAAAGAAAAUAAAACGUCUUUGUAUUUCAGUCUAAGGAGGACAGAUGCACAUUAAACUCAGUUUGGAGCGCUUAACUCCAGGCGAAAUGCCCUUUUAUCAAAUCCCACGCGUCGACUUGGGUUGCGCUGGGAAUUUCACGAAUUCCUCGCUGCAGCGUGGCGUGGUUUACCCCCACCCCCACCCCCACCCCACUUUGGGUGAAAUGGAUUUUUGGAAACCAUUUAAGCAGAGCUAAAAAUAAGGGUGGGGGGAUCCCUACACUAGAGAUAGCUGCAGCCGCCUAGGGGCUCACCCCUGGCCGGGAGCGAGCAGCUAUUUGCUAGUUGUAGCUCAGGGGUGCCCAACUCUUCCCGUGUGGUUGCGCCAGCUGCCCCGCACUGCAGGUAUCUGAAUCAUUACGUAGGCAACCUGAUGCGGCUCUGAACCCCAGCUCUUUGAAUGCUGGAAUCCUGAAGGAGGAGGAGGUCCCAGAAAUCAAACCACCAGGUCUUAGCCGACCAGAUAACCCAGCUUUCUGAGGCUGGUGACCUCAUUAACUGGCCAGGGAAUUUGCAAGACCAGGAAUAAUCUCGUUUCCCAGUUCUUCUUUCCUACAUUGCUUUUCUCCUCUGUCUUCAACGUUAGGGUUUUGUGUUUGUCCCUAAAUUUACAAUUUACAAACGGGGAAGACGGAGCCUAAGUUUCAGCAGGGCAGGUACAAAAGAGAGGGACAACACUCUGGGGGCCUCAUUCUUUCACGUUUUUGUUUCUUGAAAUUUGAUGGAUAUCACCUUAGUUCGGCAAUAGGAGGGCCAGGGUGACUGGGGACAUGGUGGCCCGAAGGGUUAGAUAAUAUGGCAUGCAGGUAGUCUCUGAUCUCCAGGGCUUUGAUAACACCAAGAUUUUCCUCCUUUGCAGAGCAGUCCUAAAUUCUGCCUUCUCCCUUUUCUGCCGCCUCUUCUCUUUCCCCCAUUUCUUUCUUCGUUUCUUUUUCUGUUUUCUUUUUGUGUGCCUCUCUUCCAACAGUCCCUCCUCCACCUUUAUAAGACUUCUCAAAGGUUAUUUAUUUAAGGUCUACCAAGUGCUAGCCCCAAACAGGUCCAGUCCUUCUACCUGUGGCAAGACGGAGGCUGUUACCGCGUGCAAAUAGUGAGGGAACAAAGUAGUUUGGAGUUUUUUGCAGCUUUUUUAGGUGGGGGGAAGGGAGGGAGGUCAGAAAUAGGUUGACACUUGGUUUGAAAUAAAAAAACAUGUUAAGAAGUUUCGAAGCUGCCAAUAAAACCCUUUAAGUGGCUUGUGAUUCAGUGCCUGGAGUUGCGGGGAUGGCAUUGGUAAAUGACUCUAAUGCCCAAAGAAAAAUAUUACAAAUGCCGCUGUCUCGGCCACCAAUCGGGCGCCGCUCUCCUGCGCGGGCGAUGGCUCCUCUCUGGCGCGGAGGGCACCCACAUUUGCAUGAUAAAUUGACCAGACUGGCGGCAGCCAAUGAAAUAUUCAAAUUAGGCCGGGUGGCGGUAGUAGGGGUGGAGUCCCUGGGGCUGCCCCUUGGCGCGGCGGCGGGAGCGGGCGCUGCCACCUCUCCGUCAGCGCCCUCUGGAGGCGGGACAGCGCGGGCGGCCGCUCUGGCCCAAAAGACGAGAUGGGGGGUUGGGGGUUUGGGAUGCAAGGGGGUUUGGGAGGGGUGAUGGUGGGGUCUGGGUGGUGCUUCGCGGCCCCAGGAGGCUUUCCGGCUGGCCUCGUUGACUAGGCGUACAGCAGGGUCUCCGCAUGCCUCUUGCCCUUAAAAGUGUUGAUGGAUUGCAGAAGUGGAUGGUGACCCCAAGGAGGGGAUUCAGAAAGGCUCCAGCCUCCUUCGCCCAACCACCUUCUCUAGGUUCCCCUAACAAACCCAGCACUUAAGUUAAAAUCGUGUAUUUGCUCUUGUUGGCUUAGCUUUAAGACAAGAUUCUUGCCCACCGCAGACCACAUGGCCAGCUUUCCCAAAGGCCCUCUGAUAAUGAAAUGAUGGAGCAGAUAUAUUAAACUUUCCAUCUUGCCCUGAGCCAACGACCCUGCACCCUCACAGGCCAGGGCACUCUGGAGGGCACCCUGCCUGGAGCCCCAAACCUUGGCUAAGCUGUGGGAGCCUAGGCAGAGUCAGGCAGUGCCUGGAGGCUGGCUUCAGACGGCAGAACUUCUCACCUGGGAAAAUGCUUUCUGGAAGAAGCACCCAGGCCUCAAGGCAGCUCCAGUGAGAGGGCAAAAAGGGAUAUACAUAAGGCAUAAGGCGCUGGCCAUGGUUAGGUAGGUGCUCAGCCAGGAAGAUAGGGCAGACUCACAUGGGGGAGAUUGGCUCGGUGAUGAGACCACUUCUGACUCCACCAGAACCAGGCCCAGCUCUUCCUGGAGGUCCUGACCCAACGGGGACUUUUGCAUGGGAGCCAAAGAACAGUGGAUGUCUCUUGUCCGCUGAUCAUCUCUUCCCUUCCCCCACCCCGUAUUCCAUCCCAUGCCAGAUCCCUAGGCUGUGCCUGUUAGAGCUACUGGAGCACCACAUGGACUUGCCUUUAAAGCAGAAUUUUUAGAAGUGCAGUUGCUUUUCUUUACUCUGCUGUGGGAUGCUGAACACCUUGUUCUUUCUCCAGCUCAGCAGGGCUUGGAGUUGGUUCCUAGCUAUCUCUGGGAAUGCUCGAUCCCCAUCUCUGUUACCAGCCAAAAGGGUCUGCGGGAGGUGGUCGGCACUCCAGUCAGCAGCCCUCUCAGUACCUCUUCCCCAGACAUAGUCAAAGCAAGUCAUUCAUCUGCAGCCAGUCUCCCCUGCCCAUUCACCAAGGAGAACCUGGGGAUAGGACCACUCAGAGCCUGGCCCAGGCUGGCUCACUAACUGUGUGUAAAUACACACAGCGGAAAGAGUAGGUGCUGAACACACAUGUGAGAGAGAGUGAAUUUUUACUCUCAAUCACCUUAUAUAUAUUAUCAAUAGUUUCAAAGUAUGUUGCCCAAAGGAUGUUAAUUCCUAAGAAGGCUUUUGUAUCGUUUGGAGUUUUGAGGAGUGUGUUGGCUGAAGAGAAGAGGGUCUGGCCCCAGGCUUGAUGGGAAUGCAUGGGGUAAACAGCUGGUGACAGAGGUACAAAAGGGGCCUCUCUACUUUCUAAGAGAAUCUUCCAUCCAGGCUGGUUUUAGGACCUGGGGUGGGGUUCCCAUCAGGAGGAGGCCUAAGGAAGGAGUAGGACCCUUCCUAGAUGGCUGAGUCAACUUAUACGACAGGUCAGGGAAACCUGUCUUGGAAGCCCGGGAGCCCUCUUUCCUCCUCCCCAUCCUCAGGCCUCACCUGAGACUUGAAAAUGGACCAGAGUCUUCCUCCAACAGUGAAAUUCGUUAAAGAGUCACUCCUGUCUAGAAUGUGCAGAAAUGCAAGCCUCUCUCUUUCUCUCUCUCUCUCUUUCUCCACCUUGAGGAUGCUGUAUCUAGAGCCCAUAUAGGGACAAGAAGGUAGGCAGUGAAAGCGGGAAAGAAGUAGAAGGCUGGCUGUCAUCCAGCUGUGCAUCCAGUCCUAUCUCAGCUGAACUGUGCACGGUGAAUGAGGAAGUAAAUGACAGGUGAAGGACCAAGAGAGUGAAGCUAGUCAGUUUAUCUGAGGAGAUAGGUAUCAGUGAGUAACUAAGGAUCACACCCACAGUGGGUGUGCCCCGCAGAUGGAUAUAUAUGCAGCAAGCGGUACCUUGCAGGGGAAUGCAAGCUCCAACUGUGGUGAUGAGCCUCUGGCCCAUAAGUAACCCAGUGAGCCUGAGCAGGUCACUCCCUCUCUUUGAGCCUUGUCUCCAUCUCUAAAACAGGACAGCUUUCUCCAUCUUAAACACCAAGUAGGAAUUCAUUGUGGAAACCUUCCAUCAAAAUUGGAGAUGCCUUGGACGGACCCUGUGGCGGCUCAUGCCUGUAAUCCCAGCACUUUGGGAGGCUGAGGCAGGCAGAUCACUUGAGUCCAGGAGUUUGAGACCAGCCUGGGCGACAUGACAAAACCCUCUCUCCACAAAAAAUACAAAAAUUAGCUGGACAUGAUGGCAUGCACCUGUAAUCUCAGCUACUUGGGAGGCUGAGGCAGGAGGAUCACUUGAGCCUGAGAGGUUGAGGCUGUAGUGAGCCAAGAUCGUGCCACCGUACUCCAGUCUGGGCAACAGAGUGAGACCCUGUCUCAAAAAAAAAAAAAAAUAGAGAAAUAGAGAUGCCCCUUGAACCCAUGGGUUUUUGGGACUACAUUCUGGAAGCUUUCAGAGUCAGACCAGAGUUUGAAAGAGGCAUUGUGUCACUAGCCGUGUGCCCGUGGGCAAGUCACAGUAGAGUCUACUUCCCACGGCACUUGUGAGGCUCAUCUGGGAUUAUGUGUGUCCAUGCCUUGGCAGAGAGCUUGGUGAAGAAUGGUAGUUGUCCAAUAAAUGGUACCCCAUUAAGUUGGUGUGCAGGGUGGCCACGGGGCCAGACCACCCUGAAAAUGAAGGCUUCUAUUUGGGCUGAGCCUGGACGCACCUGAGAUUACAAGCAGGUACUUAGAAUGUGGUGAAAAAGAAAGACAGGAGAGAAUGGCUGAAGGCAGCAUGCAGUCCACCUGACUUUCUGGGAAGAUUGGGCAUUUGCAGGGCUGAUAAGUCAGGUUCUUCUGGGCCUUUCUGUGAGCUCAUUAGAGGAAGGGGUCUGGUGACUGAUAUUUCUGUUUUCCCUGUUAGUAGCGACUGGAAUUUGCACCAUCCAGGUCGGAUGGAAAAUAGAAGGCGGGAAAAUCUGACAGUCUCAUUGAUUUGCUCUCUUUGCCAUCACCACUCUUCAGAGGAAGAAAUGUGACUUCAAACUUGCAAUUAGGAACCAGCCUGCUAAGGAGUCCUCUCGUGAGCUCCUGUGCUAUGCGGAGCACAGGCCCAUCUCAUCUCAUUUCCUAAGGAGACAGAGACUCGCUCUGCUGCUCAGGCUGAAGCACAGUGGCACAAUGUCGGCUCACUGCACUCACCUCUGCCUCCUGGGUUCAAGCGUUUCUUCUACCUCAGCUUCCCGAAUAGCUGGGAUUGCAGGCAUGCACCACCACACCCAGCUAAUUUUUGUACUUUUAGUAGAGACAGGGUUUCAUCAGGUUGGCCAGGAUGGUCUCGAACUCCUAACCUCAAGUGAUCCACCUGCCUCAGCUUCCCAAAGUUCUGGGAUUACAGGGCACCAAAAAUUGGCACUUUUAAAAGGAGACAAGUUUUACUUAAAAGCAAAAGCCUUUAACAGGCCUUUGGCUGGACUAAAUGAUAAUGAAGCGAAGCAAAGCUUGUGACCACUCUGUAGAGCCAUCCAGAUAGUCUCUCUUUGGGGCCAGAUCCUCUAGAAUGCAUGAUUUAGGGUCAUUCAUUGCACAUUCCUGGCUUCAGACUGGUUUUCUGAAUUUCCCUGCGAUCUGAUUUUUGUCUUCCUACAUUUGUGUGUGUGAGAUACAUCAAAAGGUAAAAGAAUGUGAAUCAUAUGGGUACGGUUUAAAUAAUACCUGCAUACACAACACUCAGUCACCUGAAACCUCCCCCGACGCCUCCCAAUUCCAGUCCCCUCUCCUGGAGGCCACCUCUAUUUUUAAUUUUUGUAAUGAUCACUUCCUUGCCUUACUUUGUAGUUUUAAUAUUUAGGUGUGUAUACCUGGUCAUGUUCAUAAAUGAAAUCAUGUUGUAUGAAUUA